GAUGAACGCUAGCGGCAGGCUUAAUACAUGCAAGUCGUGGGGCAGCAUGAGUAGCAAUACUUGAUGGCGACCGGCAAACGGGUGCGGAACACGUACACAACCUUCCGAUAAGUGGGGAAUAGCCCAGAGAAAUUUGGAUUAAUACCCCGUAACAUAUAGAGUAGGCAUCUUCUUUAUAUUAUAGCUUCGACGCUUAUUGAUGGGUUUGCGUCUGAUUAGGUAGUUGGCGGGGUAACGGCCCACCAAGCCUACGAUCAGUAGCUGAUGUGAGAGCAUGAUCAGCCACACGGGCACUGAGACACGGGCCCGACUCCUACGGGAGGCAGCAGUAAGGAAUAUUGGAGAAUGGGCGAAAGCCUGAUCCAGCCAUGCCGCGUGAAGGAUUAAGGUCCUCUGGAUUGUAAACUUCUUUUAUUUGGGACGAAAAAAGGGAAUUCUUUCCCACUUGACGGUACCAAGUGAAUAAGCACCGGCUAACUCCGUGCCAGCCGCCGCAGUAA
rnacentral:rRNA from 1 species